rnacentral:rRNA from 1 species
GUCUGGCUCAGGAUGAACGCUAGCUACAGGCUUAACACAUGCAAGUCGAGGGGAAACGACAUCGAAAGCUUGCUUCCGAUGGGCGUCGACCGGCGCACGGGUGAGUAACGCGUAUCCAACCUGCCCACCACUUGGGGAUAACCUUGCGAAAGUAAGACUAAUGCCCAAUGAUAUCCCACGAAGGCAUCCGAAUGGGAUUAAAGAUUUAUCGGUGAUGGAUGGGGAUGCGUCUGAUUAG